CAGCCGCCGCGGGAAUACGAAGGGUGCAAGCGUUACUCGGAAUUACUGGGCGUAAAGCGUGCGUAGGUGGUGGUUUAAGUCCGUUGUGAAAGCCCUGGGCUCAAUCUGGGAACUGCAUCCAAAACUGGUGAGCUAGAGUACGGUAGAGGGUAGUGGAAUUUCCUGUGUAGCGGUGAAAUGCGUAGAUAUAGGAAGGAACACCAGUGGCGAAGGCGACUACCUGGACUGAUACUGACACUGAGGUGCGAAAGCGUGGGGAGCAAACAGGAUUAGAUACCCCUGUAGUCCCUGUCUCUUAUAC
rnacentral:rRNA from 1 species